UCGUCCGUCGACCUUGAGCACUCCUUGCUCCCGCUCCUAAAAGUGGGCCUCUUAAUCAGAAUAUGUCUCCCCUCUCGCUGUAAAACAGAGACAUCUCUUUUUCCCCUGUUGGGGAGAGAGAAAACCUGUGGAUGAUGGGUCUCAGUGGCAUCUGUAACAUGUUCUUCACGAAGAGGCUGGUGUCCAAGAAACACAAGACCCCAGCAAUUUCCAGAUGUACGAGUUGGCUAUCCCAUCCAUCCUACUGGCUGUUGAUGAGAGAAUUCUACAAAUCCUUAAUGUUGACAGCUGGCUGACGUUAUUUUUGGUUUGCUGCUGGCGGCAAAUUUAAGUUUGGCGUUUUUCAUAAAUACAAGAAGGACUCAAAUAGACAUUGAGUAUUUUACUUAAAAGUAACCUUCAACCCAACGUCUUUUUUUCGGAGUUCAAAAUGUUUUUGUUGCAUGCAGAAAUGUAAUUUCGUUUUCUCUGCAGGAGUUCAUCAAUUUCAUAAAUGCAACACAUUAUAGUUUGUUUAUACAUAGCAUAAAGGCAAA